rnacentral:ncRNA from 27 species
UGUAACAGCAACUCCAUGUGGAA